AGGAAACGCAACAAUAAAUAUCUGACCUUUGACUUGGUAAACACAAUUAGAACUGUAACUACAUUUUGUACCAUAUCGGUUACUUCGGCAAGGCUCGCAAGGCCACCAUAGCCCGACGACAUAUAACGUAAAGGAUAUAUAUACCGCAUAGCGAUAUUCUGUUCAUUCUGAAAACAUUGUGGUCAAAGGGUAAAGCGCGCACGUUAUAUUGUUGAAGACCGUACUGUUGCCUAUAUUGGCUUACAUCCACUUCAUUUGAACUUUUGUGAAUAAUUGUCUCAUUGUCAAUCAUACCACAUCUCCUUUUUUUGGAUAAGGAAAGAAUGAAUUAUGAUUGAAGGGAAUUGAAUAAAUCCAAAUCUCGAUAUAUUGAAAUGUCCAAAAAGACGUAUCCAUGGACAUGUUAUCGGUUGACGUAGCAGUUGUCCCUUCAUCACCAAACCUGACAAAUAUCUCGGAUACGACAUAUUCAGAUUAUCAUACAAAAAACAACAGCAAAACAAUUCAAUUAAGGCCGUUCGAAUUUGAAGUACAAUUACUUACGGACUACUGUUGAGCUUAUUUGGAUUCAGAACUGCUUAGGUGAAAGUUAAGCGAAGACUCUUUGAAUGUGAACUGAUUAUGAAGAGUUAAAAAGGAACUUUUUGUCCAAAUUCAGGCCUUUCUGUUCUGCGCAAAAUUGCUGGGGUUUCUAAGUUUUACAUCCGAGAUGUGUAAUACUGGUUUCAGUGGCAUUUGCUGUAGCGUAUUACUCACUUUUUAUUGGAAAAAGAAGCCAGAGCACUCUUAGAGAAAAAAGUAAAAUAGCAAUCAAAAAGAACUCCAAUGAUAAUUCAAAAUGGAAAGUCUUUUAUCAAAUGGCAAAAUAAAAACUCAAACACAUCAAACGAACGGAGAAAAAAACUGUCAUAUUCCUGACUCUGUACAGGAAUUUCCUUAUGUAGAAAAUGGUGGAUUAAACCUGGUUUUAUAGCUAGCCAAACCUUUCACUUGUAUGACAGCUGCAUAGAAUUCCAUUAUAGUGACAACAAUGUGUGAGCAAAACAAACAGACAUAAUAGAUAAAAAUGUCAAAUGUUGGGGUACAGCAGUCAAUAUUGUGUUAUUAUAUGAAUAACUACAAAAAAUAACUAUUUUAACAUAGAAAAACCAAUUGAAAAAAAGAGUUUUAAGGGUAACCUUCCGACCAGGUCUCUUAAACAGUGGUUUCACUACAUAAUUUAAGACAUCCAGGAGAUGCUUUAACUCUUGAUGUAUUUGGUCUCAUAUCGUUAUUCAUCCUAUUCGAUUGUUUUAACCCCGCACUUGUUCACAAAAGAUAUCUUUACGCUAAUCUUAUGAUAUUUUCUGACGAAUUUAGCAUGCGGCUUAGAUGAUCUUAAAUUUUCCAAUUACUGCUUUGCAAUGAUGACGAAAUUUAAAUUGAUAAGAUAUUUUUUAUCCGAAGAUUUAAACGACAAGAUAACAUCAAGUUAACCUAACGGAAUCAUUGAAAAAAGAUUGCAAACAAAAUAUUCAAAAAGUCUAAAAUAGUUAAAAAGUUAUUUAAAAAAAAAAUAGUGAAGUUAGUUGAUUCUCAAUGUUUAAAUGCAGUUAGCAUGCAGAUUUAUUUCAGUAACAUUGUUUUUUCCCAGGUAAUAACAACCCUGUUAUAAGUAUUAAACAAAUGCUGUGACAUCAGUUUAUGUAUUAAAAGUGUUUUCAUAUUCACUUCCUUGAUCACAUCAUUUAUCUAAAUUAAAUACUUUUUGUUGAAUAUCCUUACGGAUGAUUAAUGUAUGCUAUAGUAUUACGACAAAAUGUCGUGUUACAAGAUAACAUACAUUAAAUUGACGUAGAUAAUGGUAAUGCAAUACGGGUUAAAUGUUUUAAACUUAUUUCAAACGGAUCUCAAAUGACAUCACUUUUCGCAGGUGAUUUAUUUUUAACCCUAAUUUACGAUUAAUAUAUA